rnacentral:rRNA from 1 species
CCUACGGGGGGCAGCAGUAGGGAAUAUUGCGCAAUGGAGGAAACUCUGACGCAGCGACGCCGCGUGGGUGACGAAGGCUUUCGGGUCGUAAAGCCCUGUCGAAAGGGAAGCGGUACCUUUAGAGGAAGCACCGGCUAACUACGUGCCAGCAGCCGCGGUAAUACGUAGGGUGCAAGCGUUGUUCGGAAUCAUUGGGCGUAAAGCGCGUGUAGGUGGCUAAGUAAGUCUUGUGUGAAAUCCCUGGGCUCAACCGAGGAAGUGCAUGGGAAACUACUUAGCUUGAAGAUGGCAGAGGAAGGUGGAUUCCUAGUGUAGAGGUGAAAUUCGUAGAUAUUAGGAGGAUCCGGUGGCGAAGGCGGCCUUCUGGACAUCUUGACACUGAGACGCGAAAGCGUGGGGAGCAAACAGGAUUAGAUACCCUUGUAGUC